AGCAGCCGCGGUAAUUUCAGCUCCAAUAGCGUAUAUUAAAGUUGUUGCAGUUAAAAAGCUCGUAGUUGAAUUUCGGGGUCAGUAGGUCGGUCGUGCCACAGGUAUGCACUGGUCUCACUGAUUCCUCCUUCCUGAUGAACCGUAAUGCCAUUAAUUUGGUGUUGCGGGGAGACUGGACUGUUACUUUGAAAAAAUUAGAGUGUUUAAAGCAGGCUAACGCUUGAAUACAUUAGCAUGGAAUAACGGAAUAGGACGUUCGAUCUUAUUUUGUUGGUUUCUAAGAUUGACGUAAUGAUUAAUAGGGAUAGUUGGGGGCAUUAGUAUUCAAUUGUCAGAGGUGAAAUUCUUGGAUUUAUUGAAGACUAACUACUGCGAAAGCAUUUGCCAAGGAUGUUUUCAUUAAUCAAGAACGAAAGUUAGGGGAUCGAAGACGAUCAGAUACCGUCGUAGUCUUAACCAUAAACUAUGCCGACUAGGGAUCGGAUGAUGUUAAUUUUUAAUGACUCAUUCGGCGCCUUAA
rnacentral:rRNA from 1 species